CGGGGAGCCUGAUGGAGGACUCGAAACUGUGACCCCGGGGUCAUGACCUGAGAUAAAAGCAGACACUUAACUGACUGAGCCACCCGGCUGCCCACCUGCAGGUUUAUUUUAAAAUGUAUAUGGACAUGCAAAGCACCAAAAAUAUCCAAGAAACGUUUGAAGAUCUCUUGAGGAAUAGUAAAGUUGGAUAUGUACCACACAUCAAGAUCUAUAAAGUCAUGCUGAUUAAGACACUGGGGCGACCGGUUAAAAGGAUAGGCAAUCACGAAAGAAACUAGAUGGCUCAGAAACAGACCUCUGCAUACGUGGACAGUUGAUUUAAGGCAAGGAUGAUACUCUUAAGCAGUGGGAAAAGGAGUUCUUGAUAACAAAUAGUGCUUGGUCGAUUUGAUAUUCGCAUGGAGGAAAAGAAAGAAACUUAACCUCUACGCUAAACCGUACCCCAAAUCAAAUCAUGUGCAAGUUGAUUGUAUAUUUAAUUGUAAAAGAUAAAAUAACAUUCUAAGAGAUGAUAUAAAUUGUCAACGACAGGACUGAUUUUUAAAUUGAACAGCAAUGUCAUUAACGUGGAAGAAAAUAAUUACCUAUUUGACUACAUUAGACUGAUAACUGAAGAACUUAGGUCUAUUGCAAAGACAGCGUUAGAGAAUGGAAGGCAAGACACAGACUGGAAAAAGAUAUUUACCAGAUGCCAAAUGAGGGCUAAUAUGCAAAAUAUAUGAAAGACGGAUACAAAUGCUAAGAAAAUGAUUGACCACCAAUAAGAAAAGUGGGUCAGAUACUUUUUUAGGAGGCUCUCCAAAAGAAAAUCUCAAUGAUCAACAAGCUUGUUUAAGGGUGCUCAACUUUAUUUGUAAUGAGGAAAAUGAAAGUUAAAACCAUAAUGCAAUAUUCACCCAUCAGAAUGGCUAAAAUCAUGAGUGACAAUAGAGGUAUCAAGGAAGGGAACCAGAGAUGAUAUCACAGCCCCAGCCAAUACCUUGAUUGUCGCCUGUGGGGAUCCAGCGCCUGAGGGCACAACCAGUGGGAAUGGUCACAUACUGCUGGUGAGAAUAACUUGGUACAAUUUUGGAAAACAGUUUUUGGUCUAGCAAUCUCACUCCAAGGACUACAACCAAUGGAAAUGCAUGGACUUGUGCAUCGAGAUACAUUUUAUAAAAAACGUUUUUAGCAGUAAAAUUCAAAAUUACCCCAAACUGGAAGCAAACCGAACACCCUUUCAAGAGUACAAGGGGGUAAAUAUAUUGAGCUAUAUUUGCUCAACGAAAUGCUACAUAGCAAUAUAGAAGAAAAGAAAGUUAUAAAAUCCCUUGCAACAACGCGGAAAAUCUCAUAAAGUUGAGGAAAAGAGGCCAGACUCCCAGUCUCUUCCAUCCCAAGAAUACUAUAUAAUUCCAUUUACACGAAUGUAAACAGGCAAGGUGUUGUAUAGAGUCGUUAAGUUUAAGCAUUAAAAUCAUAAAAAAUCAUCAAGGAGUCGAUUACCAUGAAAGGAUAAUGGUUACCCUGGGAAGGGGAGAAGGGACAAUGAUUACAAGGGAAUAGGGGGCAGUAAUCUUCAUGUGUAGGCUUUGUUCUCUUGUUCUAGUGAUUUUGUGAUGAUUCAUUGAGCCGAAUAUGUUGUUUUGUGUGCUUUUCAAUAAAAAUAUUUUUAAAACUUUUGUAAGGCAAAAAUCUUUGUUUCCAUUGAGGAAUUGAAAUGUAUUUCUUCUUUGUAAUUUCCUUUGAUUGGCUGACAGAAAUCCUACAGCUAAAUGUGAAGUUCAGUUCUAACAAUUAUAUAAAAGAAUGUGACUAAAUGUUUCCAUUCUUUUUCCUCAGUCAUUGACUUUCUACUAAUAUUUACCUUGCCACGGUUGUUUUUAAUCUCCAUAUUUUAAACCAUUAUUUAGUUUUAUAUGUUUAUAAGUGGAUAUGACUGCUUGGAAGGUUACAUCUCUUAAAAUUCACGCUAACUACUUGAAACUCCCAUUGUUUAAAUUAAGAGGAAUACUUAUUUCUCUUGGAGAUUUCUCUUACAUACCUAUCAACUGACUAAGAAUCCCAGAAAGAAAAAAAAAUUAUAUUCACUACAACACUUUAUUAAAUAGAUGGCAUGAUAGCUAUCUAAAAGACUUAUUACCCUAAAAAAAAAAAAAUUCAACUCCCACUUAGAAAAUAGUUAAAGGAGUUUGAAGAAUUUAAUAAUGCCUGUAGGAGUAAUAACUAUGUGGUAAUCCUUUAAAACGUAUUAAUACUGCAAGUAAAAUAACAAUGAAUAAUUUCCCAUAACUGUCCAAAUUCUAUAGUGCCCAAGUAACCCUUGUAAAAAGGAGCAACUGGAGCCCAAAUAACAGCCAAGUGUUGUUAGGUUAGCAUGCCCAGGAUGGCUGUAAUUGUAAUGGUUAUGUGGUAGGAAGCUAUAUCAUAAGUUUUAGCUUGGAAGUUACUUAAUUCACACAAUCUGUUACAGUUCUAAAUGUAGUUCAAAUUAACUGUACUUCCUAAAAGUAGCUCUUGGAAUCAGUACAAUAUAAUUAACUCCUUGAUAAAAUGUUUUUAAAAAAACAAAACAUAGGUCUCCUAGAUGUUUGAAUGCAAUAUGAUUCAAAAUGCCAAAACUUAGCAUUUCUAGGCAUUUGAGUAUGAUGUACCUAUAAGGUUUAAUACGAUUAGACACUUUCUGAUUAAACCGAAGUUAAACUCUUACUUGUUUACUUGCAGGAAUUAUCCACAAGCUUGACAGUGAUUAUUGAACAAAAGUUAAUCAAGAGUGUUGAUAAGGAGGUUUUAUGUGGGUUGAUUGUCCUAUCACAUCACAAUGAUACAGCCUGCUGGGUGGAUGGCUAAUUGUGAGAAGUCUUUGUUUCAAGAAAAACAAAAAACAAAAAACAAAAAACACAAUGAAAACCUUAACUGUGCUGUUAUGUAGCACAUUAUGUAUACAGGAGCCCCACCCCAGCUCCAAACUAUCAAUUGGCCAUUACAUAUCCAAAUAUAUCCAUUGUCAAUAGAUAGGAUGAGCAGAAAAAAAAAAAAAAAAAAGAUAUGAUGAGCAGAAUCUGAACAGAUCACAAAACGAGUAUUUUCUUUAUCGUCUUGUUGCUAUGUUCCUAGGAUGCCUCAAAAUGAGCCUGGGUAAGUGUUGGGCCCAUUUUGCCUCAGUCCUGACCUACUAGCAACUGUCAUUAAAAUCACCUACAGGGCCCAUCCCUCUUCUGUGGGAACUGCAUCAGGAGCCUCUGCCUAGCUGACUUUAGUCACCCAUAUGCCAGGUGGUCCCAGUCAAGUAAAACUGAUUUUUUUUUUUUUUUAAGAUUUUACGGAUUUUUUCAUGAGAGAUACAGAGAGAGGGAGAGACACAGGCCGAGGGAGAAGCAGGCUCCCUGCGGGGAGCCCGAUGGGACCCUGGGAUCCUGACCUGAGCCAAAGGCAGCCGCUCAACCACUGAGCCCUCACGUAAAACUGAUUGGACUAGAGUGAGCACUUGACUUUGGGAACCAACCCAGAGGCUGGCUGUCCACCUCUGACUAUCACAAAAGAGACACUGAAACAAUCAUAUUUCAUAGUCCUUGGAGAUGUGAAGCCCAUACUCCAGGAUGAUGUUUCCGCCUCUGUUUUAUGGCUUUCCACAAUCCUCUUACCUUCUCAACUCGCCAAUAAGCUUUCCUUGCUGGCCUCCAGCCUUGGAUCAAUCAGCAACUUGCUUGCUCAGCCCGUACAAAUGAGCUAUUGAGUAGCUUGGAGAGGUUUCCAACUGGGCCAUCCUGAAGCUAUAGUCACCAGAGGGAGCUGGUUGUUAAAUAUUUACCAGGAUACCAUUGCUGGGACCUAUGGAGCUACUCUUCUGCUAUCAGAACUGCCCCUGAGAUCAUGGUGUUGGUGUCAAGAGCUCAUUGCCUCAUUAAGAGUCACAAAGAUUUUCUCCUACAUUUUCUUCUAAAAUUUUCAUAGUUAAUGUUUCACAUUUAAAUUUAUUAUUCAUUUUGAGUUUAUUUAUUUUUUUGUAUAAAGUGUGCGCUUUUUUUUUUCACGUUGAUGCCCAUUUGUUCCAAUUGUUGAAAAAACUAUCCUUUCCCCAUUGAAUAGUUUUGUCAAAAUAAAGUUGGCCUUAUUUGUGUGUCUACCUCUGGAUUCUCUGUUUUAUUCUGUGAAUCCCCGUGUCCAUCUUUUUGCCAAUAUGAUGUUGUCUUGACUUCUGUAGGUUUAUAGUAAGUAAUAAAAUCAAAUUUUAUUUCAUUAUUUUUCCACCUUUGUUCUUUUCCAAAUUUUUUUGACAGUUCUAACUCCUGUGCCUUUCCACAUAUAUUUUAGUAUUAGCUUGUUGGUGUCUACACAGAAGGCUGG